rnacentral:rRNA from 1 species
CAGUUUGACCUCGGAUCAGGUAGGGUUACC